GUCGAGCGGCGGACGGGUGAGUAACACUUAGGAAUCUACCUAGUAGUGGGGGAUAGCUCGGGGAAACUCGAAUUAAUACCGCAUACGUCCUACGGGAGAAAGGGGGCAGUUUACUGCUCUCGCUAUUAGAUGAGCCUAAGUCAGAUUAGCUAGAUGGUGGGGUAAAGGCCUACCAUGGCGACGAUCUGUAGCUGGUCUGAGAGGAUGAUCAGCCACACCGGGACUGAGACACGGCCCGGACUCCUACGGGAGGCAGCAGUGGGGAAUAUUGGACAAUGGGGGGAACCCUGAUCCAGCCAUGCCGCGUGUGUGAAGAAGGCCUUUUGGUUGUAAAGCACUUUAAGCAGUGAAGAAGACCAUAUGGUUAAUACCCAUAUGCGAUGACAUUAGCUGCAGAAUAAGCACCGGCUAACUCUGUGCCAGCAGCCGCGGUAAUACAGAGGGUGCAAGCGUUAAUCGGAAUUACUGGGCGUAAAGCGAGCGUAGGUGGCUUGAUAAGUCAGAUGUGAAAUCCCCGGGCUUAACCUGGGAACUGCAUCUGAUACUGUUAAGCUAGAGUAGGUGAGAGGGAAGUAGAAUUCCAGGUGUAGCGGUGAAAUGCGUAUAGAUCUGGAGGAAUACCGAUGGGCGAAGGCA
rnacentral:rRNA from 1 species